rnacentral:rRNA from 1 species
UACGGAGGGAGCUAGCGUUGUUCGGAAUUACUGGGCGUAAAGCGUACGUAGGCGGUUAUUCAAGUCAGAGGUGAAAGCCCGGGGCUCAACCCCGGAACUGCCUUUGAAACUAGAUAGCUAGAAUCUUGGAGAGGUCAGUGGAAUUCCGAGUGUAGAGGUGAAAUUCGUAGAUAUUCGAAAGAACACCAGUGGCGAAGGCGACUGACUGGACAAGUAUUGACGCUGAGGUACGAAAGCGUGGGUAGCGAACGGGG